AUUGAACGCUGGCGGCAUGCCUUACACAUGCAAGUCGAACGGUAACAGGUCUUCGGACGCUGACGAGUGGCGAACGGGUGAGUAAUACAUCGGAACGUGCCCAGUCGUGGGGGAUAACUACUCGAAAGAGUAGCUAAUACCGCAUACGAUCUGAGGAUGAAAGCGGGGGACCUUCGGGCCUCGCGCGAUUGGAGCGGCCGAUGGCAGAUUAGGUAGUUGGUGGGAUAAAAGCUUACCAAGCCGACGAUCUGUAGCUGGUCUGAGAGGACGACCAGCCACACUGGGACUGAGACACGGCCCAGACUCCUACGGGAGGCAGCAGUGGGGAAUUUUGGACAAUGGGCGAAAGCCUGAUCCAGCAAUGCCGCGUGCAGGAUGAAGGCCUUCGGGUUGUAAACUGCUUUUGUACGGAACGAAAAAGCUCCUUCUAAUACAGGGGGCCCAUGACGGUACCGUAAGAAUAAGCACCGGCUAACUACGUGCCAGCAGCCGCCGCAG
rnacentral:rRNA from 1 species